rnacentral:pre_miRNA from 1 species
AUGUUGGUGCAUACACAUCACCACAGGGCACCACCAUGCUGUGUGUGCGUUCGUAUCACCAUGAGGUGUCACUGUGUUGGUGCAUACAUACAAUCCUGAUGGGGCGCCAC